rnacentral:rRNA from 1 species
AAAGGUUGACCUCGAAUCAGGUAGGAAUACCCGCUGAACUUAAGCAUAUCAAUAG